GCGUUGCCCGGCAACAGAAGAAACUGCUGGCUUAGCCGUUGGCCGAGUUGGCGGCUGGACGAGGACGCUCAGAGCCCAGCUCUCGAGAGUUCAAGCAACCGACGGUUCCCCACUGCUCCCAGGAGCGGUUACCUGGGCACUCUGUGCCCCUCCUUCCUGUUCGGGCCCAGGCCGAGGACCUGCCAGUAGGGCUCAGUUGCCUGGAGCCCGUUCAGCCCAUCCCCCAGUUCACUUUGCCUGUGGGAUCUCCCCGUUGCUCCUGCCCGUGGACUGAGUGGCAGGCCAUCCUACAAGCACCCGGACACUUGACAUCCGUGGUGUCAAGACAACUCUAAGAAGGUUUUCCGUGAUCCUGCAAGCCCUGCCUUCCUUUCUGGGAUCCUGCCUUCAAUUUGAUUGCACAGGUACCACAGCAAGCCAGUGCUGUGUGCUCCGAGUUCCAGGGCGUCCUCCAGCUCAGCCACUGCACUGAGAACAUGGACUCUCUGUGGGGCCCAGGAGCUGGGAGUCACCCCUUUGGGGUCCACAACAGCCGGCUGUCCCCAGACUUGUGUCCAGGGAAGAUAGUGUUGAGGGCCCUCAAGGAGAGCGGGGCAGGGAUGCCUGAGCAGGACAAGGACCCUAGAGUCCAAGAGAAUCCUGGUGAUCAGAGAAGGGUCCCCGAGGUCACCGGGGAUGCACCGUCUGCAUUUCGGCCCCUGCGGGACAAUGGAGGCCUCUCUCCCUUUGUGCCCGGGCCCGGGCCUCUGCAGACAGACCUCCAUGCCCAGAGGUCAGAAAUCAGAUAUGACCAGUCAUCCCAGACCUCCUGGACGAGCUCGUGCACCAACCGAAAUGCCAUCUCCAGCUCCUACAGCUCCACGGGAGGCUUGCCGGGGCUAAAGCGGAGGAGGGGGCCAGCCUCAUCCCACUGCCAGCUGACCCUCAGUUCCUCAAAGACAGUGAGUGAGGACAGGCCUCAGGCUGUCUCUUCGGGUCACACCCAGUGUGAAAAGGUGGCAGAGAAAGCACCAGGGCAGACACUCGCCCUCAGGAAUGACUCCUCCAGAUCCGAGGCCUCUAGGCCCAGUACACGCAAGUUUCCCCUGCUGCCACACAGGCGAGGGGAGCCUUUGAUGCUGCCACCUCCCGUAGAGCUGGGGUACCGGGUCACUGCUGAAGACCUGGACUGGGAGAAGGAGGCGGCAUUCCAGUGCAUCAAGAGUGCACUGCAGGUUGAGGACAAGGCCAUCUCAGACUGCAGACCCUCACGGCCUUCCCACACUUUGUCCUCACUUGCAACAGGGGCUUCUGGUCUGCCUGCCGUUUCUAAAGCACCCAGUAUGGAUGCACAGCAGGAGAGACACAAGUCCCAAGACUGCCUGGGCCUAGUGGCCCCCCUAGCAUCUGCUACAGAGGUCCCCUCUACAGCUCCCAUGUCUGGGGAGAAGCACAGACCACCAGGCCCCCUGUUCUCCUCCUCAGAUCCCCUUCCUGCCACCUCUUCCCACUCCCAGGACUCAGCCCAGGUCACCUCGCUGAUUCCUGCCCCCUUCCCAGCUGCAAGCAUGGAUGCGGGCAUGAGAAGAACAAGGCCUGGCACUUCUGCUCCUGCAGCUGCCGCAGCAGCCCCUCCCCCCUCCACAUUGAACCGCACAUUGGGGUCACUAUUGGAGUGGAUGGAGGCCCUUCACAUUUCUGGGCCUCAGCCACAGCUGCAGCAGGUGCCCAGAGGUCAGAACCAGAGAUCCCAGACCUCCCGGACCAGCUCGUGCCCCAAACGAAAUGCCAUCUCGAGCUCCUGCAGCUCUACGGGAGACCUCCCGGGACGAAAGCGGAAGAGGCGCCAGCCUCAUCCCACUGCCAGCUGACCCUCAGUUCCUCAAACACAGUGAGUGAGGACGGACCUGAGGCUGUCUCUUCGGGUCACACCCAGUGUGAAAAGACGGCAGAUACAGCACCAGGGCAGACACUCGGCCCCAGGGGUGGCUCCCCCAGAUCCCAGUCCUCUAGGCCCCGUAGACACAAGUUUCCCCUGCUGCCACGCAGGCGAGGGGAGCCUUUGAUGCUGCCACCUCCCUUAGAGCUGGGGUACUGGGUCACUGCUGAAGACCUGGACCGGGAGAAGGAGGCGGCAUUCCAGCGCAUCAACAGUGCACUGCAGGUUGAGGACAAGGCCAUCUCGGAC